UCAAUGACGUGUACACAUCCUGCUUUCUCUCUCCUCUCUUGUUCACCCCACGAUCUCCUCUCUCCCAUCCAUCUCGUUCUCUGCUCUCCUCUCGUCUUUCCCACUGGCCGACCUCCUCCUCCUCCUCCUCCGUCCAAGUCCAUGCCACAGAGGAGAGGACGCCAAGCCAACAAAGAGCCGCCGCUGGCAUGGAGGGCGGCGCCGACCUCCUCCUCCGCCCGUCCCCGCCUUCCGCGCCGCCAGGAAGCCGGCGCUGUGCCUCCCUAGUCGCCCGAGAUCCAGCAACAGCAGCGGCGCCCGGCGCUUGGAGGACCUGCAGCGGCGCCGUCGGAUCCACCGGCCACGACCCCGUCGCGGAUCCGGCACGGAGGCCACCGGAUCUGGCCUCUCUUCUCCUCCCGCGCGCGUCCUCCUCCCUCGAGCUCCUGCAGCAGCGGCCGCGGAGGACCAUGGAGCAGUAGUGCUUGGAGGCCUUGCGCCGGCGCCCCCGACCCUGCCCGCGGUCGGAUCUGGCGCCCCCGAUGUGAAGCAAUGCCAUAUUUCUUGAUCUUGGUUCUGUCCAAGCUAGGGUUGUUGAUCUGCUUUGUGUCCAUGUCGUGUGUUUGUGACGCGGCGAGCUGCCGAUUCCGGCCGGCAUUCCGGCCUGUUUUUUUUUAAUCGUGAAAUUAGUAUUAGUGUCGGUUACAGAUGUGAGCCCAUCACUGAUGUACCACAACAUCACCACAAUCAUGACCGUUACUAAUGAUACAACCAUUCUGUUUUUUUAAUCUUGUUACUGGCAGGAAGUUAAUGAUGCGGUUUUUCGAUCGUUA